GGAUGCGAUCAUACAAGCACUAAAGCACCGGAUCCCAUCAGAACUCUGAAGUUAAGCGUGCUUGGGCGAGCGUGCUUGGGCGAGAGUAGUACUAGGAUGGGUGACCUCCUGGGAGUCCUCGUGUUGCAUUCC
rnacentral:rRNA from 1 species